AAGAAAGCACAUGGGAGUUUGCGGAUGCAGACUGAGAGUACGGCUAAUCUGUCGUUGACCAUUAGAACCUGUUGGAUAAUGCCAGCGUAGGGAGAGUGUAAAAAAACACA
rnacentral:ncRNA from 2 species